CUCCUAUUUAAACCUGCUUCAGUGCUCUUCAUUGCGUGCUGUUGUAGGCCGGUACAAUUACUUUGAACAAAUUAGAGUGCUUAAAGCAGGCUCCAAAUGCCUGAAUAUUUUGUGCAUGGAAUAAUGAAAUAAGACCUCUGUUCUACUUUCAUUGGUUUUUAGAUCAAGAGGUAAUGAUUAAUAGAAGCAGUUUGGGGGCAUUAGUAUUACGACGCGAGAGGUGAAAUUCUUGGACCGUCGUAAGACUAACUUAAGCGAAAGCAUUUGCCAAAGAUGUUUUCAUUAAUCAAGAACGAAAGUUAGAGGUUCGAAGGCGAUCAGAUACCGCCCUAGUUCUAACCAUAAACGAUGCCAGCUAGCAAUUGGGUGUAGCUACUAUUAUGGCUCUCUCAGUCGCUUCCCGGGAAACCAAAGCUUUUGGGCUCCGGGGGAAGUAUGGUUGCAAAGCUGAAACUUAAAGGAAUUGACGGAAGGGCACCACCAGGAGUGGAGCCUGCGGCUUAAUUUGACGCAACACGGGAAAACUUACCAGGUCCGAACAUAAGCGUGUAAGACAGAUUGAUAGCUCUUUCUCGAAUCUAUGGGUGGUGGUGCAUGGCCGUUCUUAGUUCGUGGAGUGAUUUGUCUGGUUAAUUCCGAUAACGAACGAGACUCAAAUAUAUUAAAUAGAUGCUUUCAGGAUUAUGGUGUUUGAAGCUUUUAUAGCCUUCAUUCAUGAAUGCAGUAACAUGUGUGAGUGUUUGAAUGUGUUUAUAAAGGUGGAGCCGUACCUGUUGGUUUGUCCCAUUAUAAGGACACUAGCUUCUUAAAUGGACAAAUUGCGUCUAGCAAUAAUGAGAUUGAGCAAUAACAGGUCUGUGAUGCCCUUAGAUGUCCUGGGCUGCACGCGCGCUACAAUGAAAGUAUCAACGUGUAUUUCCUAGACCGAGAGGUCCGGGUAAACCGCUGAACCACUUUCAUGCUUGGGAUUGUGAACUGAAACUGUUCACAUGAACUUGGAAUUCCCAGUAAGUGUGAGUCAUUAACUCGCAUUGAUUACGUCCCUGCCCUUUGUACACACCGCCCGUCGCUACUACCGAUUGAAUUAUUUAGUGAGGUCUCCGGACGUGAUCACUGUAACGCCUUGCGUGUUACGGAUGUUUCGCAAAAGUUGACCGAACUUGAUUAUUUAGAGAAAGUAAAAGUC
rnacentral:rRNA from 1 species